GCCUACGGGAGGCAGCAGUGGGGAAUUUUGGACAAUGGGGGAAACCCUGAUCCAGCAAUGCCGCGUGUGCGAAGAAGGCCUUCGGGUUGUAAAGCACUUUUGUCAGGGAAGAAAUCCUUUGGGCUAAUACCCUAGGGGGAUGACGGUACCUGAAGAAUAAGCACCGGCUAACUACGUGCCAGCAGCCGCGGUAAUACGUAGGGUGCAAGCGUUAAUCGGAAUUACUGGGCGUAAAGCGUGCGCAGGCGGUUGUGUAAGACAGGUGUGAAAUCCCCGGGCUUAACCUGGGAAUUGCAUUUGUGACUGCACGACUAGAGUGUGUCAGAGGGGGGUGGAAUUCCACGUGUAGCAGUGAAAUGCGUAGAUAUGUGGAGGAACACCAAUGGCGAAGGCAGCCCCCUGGGAUAACACUGACGCUCAUGCACGAAAGCGUGGGGAGCAAACAGGAUUAGAUACCCGGGUAGUCCG
rnacentral:rRNA from 1 species